UACAGAGGGUGCGAGCGUUAAUCGGAAUUACUGGGCGUAAAGCGUGCGUAGACGGUUAUUUAAGUCGGGUGUGAAAGCCCCGGGCUCAACCUGGGAAUUGCAUUCGAGACUGAAUAGCUAGGGUACGGUAGAGGGAAGCGGAAUUUCCGGUGUAGCGGUGAAAUGCGUAGAUAUCCGGAGGAACACCGGUGGCGAAGGCGGCUUCCUGGACCGACACUGACGCUGAGGCGCGAAAGCUAGGGGAGCAAACGGG
rnacentral:rRNA from 1 species